rnacentral:rRNA from 1 species
GACAGAAGUCCCCGAGCGUUAGGCGGAAUCACUGGGCUUAAAGCGUGUGUAGGCGGAUUUGUAAGUACCUUGUGAAAUCCCCACAGCUUAACUGUGGAACUGCUUGGUAUACUGCUUAUCUUGGGCCACUUAGGGGUUACCGGAACAAACGGUGGAGCGGUGAAAUGCGUAGAUAUCGUUUGGAACGCCAAUGGUGAAAAACAGGUAACUGGGAGUG